rnacentral:rRNA from 1 species
GAUGAACGCUAGCGACAGGCCUAACACAUGCAAGUCGAGGGGCAGCGGGGGAUGAAGCUUGCUUCAUCUGCCGGCGACCGGCGCACGGGUGAGUAACACGUAUGCAACCUGCCCGCCACAGGGGGAUAAACGCUGGAAACGGCGCCUAAUACCCCCAUACUAUCGCUAUGCUGCAUGGCAUGGCGAUGAAAACUCCGGUGGUAGCGGAUGGGCAUGCGGCGCAUUAGCUGGUUGGGGGGGUAACGGCCCCACCAAGGCGACGAUGCGUAGGGGUUCUGAGAGGAAGGUCCCCCCANACUGGUACUGAGACACGGACCAGACUCCUACGGGAGGCAGCAGUGAGGAAUAUUGGUCAAUGGGCGGGAGCCUGAACCAGCCAAGUCGCGUGAGGGGAA